rnacentral:rRNA from 1 species
CGGAUUGUAGGCUGAAACUCGCCUACAUGAAGCUGGAGUUACUAGUAAUCGCAGAUCAGAAUGCUGCGGUGAAUGCGUUCCCGGGUCUUGUACACACCGCCCGUCACACCACGGAAGUUGGGGGCGCCCGAAGCCACUUAGCUAACCCUUUUGGGAAGCGAGUGUCGAAGGUGAAAUCAAUAACUGGGGUGAAGUCGUAACAAGGUAAC